AGCUCCAAUAGCGUAUAUUAAAAUUGUUGCGGUUUAAAAGCUCGUAGUUGGAUUUCAGAUGGAGUUCUGAGUUGACUCAUUAGAGUUGUACUUGGAUAAUCUGUCUCGUAAGCCGCCAUGUUGAAUUGAUCGCACUUAAUUGUGUGUCUUUUCGCACGGCAUGUUUACUUAGAGAAAAUUAGAGUGUUCAAAGCAGACCAUUUUAUGAGUCUGAAUAGUUAUGCUUGGAAUAAUGGAAGAGGACUUGGUUACUAUUUGUUGACUUUCAGUAAACCAAGUAAUGAUUAACAGGGAUAGUACGGGGGCAGAAGUAUGGUCGCGCGAGGGGUGAAAUCCAUCGACCGUGGCCAGACUAUCUACUGCGAAAGCACCUGCCAAGUAUGCUUUCAUUAAUCAAGAA
rnacentral:rRNA from 1 species